AUGGAUGUAAUCAGAUUACACGUGUGUGUGUGUGUGUGUGUGUGUGUGUGUGUGUGUGUGUGUGUGUGUGUGUGUGUGUGUGUGUGUGUGUGUGUACAGCUCAGUGGUGAUGCUGUGAUCCACCGUGGCAUGUUUGUGACCCUAAGCUUCACCAACCCGUACCCCUUCCCUCUCCACAACAUCUUCCUGUUCAUGGAAGGUUCAGGGGUCAUCGACAUCAAGUCGUUCUUCUAUCGCACCAUAGACGUUGGUGCCACUGUCUCCUGGAAGGAGCACUUCCAGCCUCGCCUGGCGGGACUUCGUGGGAUUGUGGCGGUCAUGUACAGCAGCAACCUCUAUGUAACUUCCUGUUUGUUCCUCAGUGAUCUGAGCUGUGUGUGUGUGUGUGUGUGUGUGUGUGUGUGUGUGUGUGAAACACGUCUGACCAACUUGUGUGUGAUGUCACAGAUGCACGGCUACAUCGUCCUGAACGUCAGGGACUGAGGGGACCAGAGCUCCAACUCACCUCCCACCUUCCGCCGAUCGCACUGCUUCAGUUACUCAUUUUCUUACUUCUACAAGUUCAGGCAUUUUCUUCACCAAUCAAUGAAUCAAUGAAUCAAUGAAUCAAUCUGAUCUGAUCUGAAGACAGUUUAUCAGGGUUAUUUUGGACGAUUGGACAAAGAAACAAAACAGCUUCCUGUUCAAAAGUUUCAAAUUCUCUCUUUUCCAAAUACUGUGAUGAAUAAUGAUUUAUACUCUUACUAUUAAUUGAUUAAUGAAUGAUUAUUGAUUGAUCAGUAGGUUGACCAGAAAUCAGCCUUCACCCUUCACCCCUCCAUCCCUUCACCCCUCCAUCCCUCCAUCCCUUCAUCCCUUCACCCCUCCAUCCCUUCACCCCUCCAUCCCUUCAUCCCUCCAUCCCUUCAUCCCUUCACCCCUCCAUCCCUUCAUCCCUCCACCCCUUCAUCCCUUCACCCCUCCAUCCCUUCACCCCUCCAUCCCUUCACCCCUUCACCCUUCACCCUUCAUCCCUUCACCCCCUCCAUCCCUUCACCCCUCCAUCCUUCACCCCUCAUCCCUUCACCCUCUUCACCCUUCACCCCUUCAUCCCUUCACCCCUCAUCCCUUCACCUCUUCACCCCUUCACCCCUUCAUCCCUUCACCCCUUCACCCCUCAUCCCUUCAUCUCGAUAUCAAGCCUAAUCAGCUGACAUUUAUUCUGAAUUUUCACCAAUUAAAGCAUAUUCAAAAGCAGCGAUGGCGUCACGGCUUAUUACUUUUAAACUAAUGAAGGAACAACAAAACAUCUUCAUAUUUUAUCCCUCAACAACAACAACAAACAAAACACUACGUCAUCAGUCACCUGAUGAAUCGUGGCCGCCAGCGUCUUAACUUCAGCGGCUGUUACACACAAUGGCCGCCAGGUGGCGACGUGGAUCCUUUUCCACAGCAGAUCUGGGAUCAGAUUCUAUAAAAAAACUAAAGAGUGUUUAACAUUCAGAUCAGUCGGUGCUCUCCUGGAAGAGCUUCUGGAGGGUUGGUGCCCCCAUGGGUCCCUCCACCCAUACAGCACCACCCUGCCAUCAUUUAUCAUCCAGGACGUGUCUGUCCAGAUCACACACACACACACACACACACACACACACACACACACACACUCAUGUCGUCCACCUGUACCAGCGUCAGCAGCGUCCGAAGGGUCCGUCACAGCCGUCAGAACCCUGGAGACCAGCUCCUCUCCUGGUGGUGGGUCGGUGCUUCCUCCUGCUUCCUGUCAGGCCCACAGCUGCACCGACCGUGGUGAUGCUGCCUGCUGACGGGCUCAGGCUGCAGCAGCAACAACUGUUACCUACAAAUCACCCCCCCCCGACACACACACACACACACACACACACACACACACUCCACAAGUGAAGAGGAAGAUGGCCGAGGUGUCCGUGCAGCAUGUGCUCGUCACCCCCAACAGGUGCUGCUCCACGCGGCAGCGGGGGGGGGGGAGGGGGGGGAAGGGUGGGGGCGGGGGUGGGUAGGGUUUCAUCAACAUCUCUGAGUGCUGCUCAGCACAUCAGCGGGCUGGACACAGUGGC
rnacentral:lncRNA from 1 species